GGCAACAAACUAUAUCUUGUACACAACAUUAAUUUAAGAACAAGAAAAUUCUAAGAAGGUUCGUCUACCAAAAGUGAACAACAAUAUUCACGAAUACGACAAAGUUCAUAUAACUAAUUCGUGAAUUGGUCUAGCAAACUCUUAUAUACAUAAUCGACAUUCAUUUUUCUACUAAAUCAAUUAAAGCCCCAACUCUGUGCUAUACUUAUUUUUCCCCACCUUCAACAAGCUAGAUAAAGGUCCAUAAUAACUACUAGGCCACUUAACUCCUCGUAGUAUUUUCAUAAUUGUGUUGAAAGAGAUAAGAGAAGGAAAUGGUGUUUGAUCUCAGCGGUAAAUGGAUGGCAGUUGUAAAGGAACAGCGACUGGCUGGGCUGAAGCUUGAUGUGAUGGCAAAGGGACGGCAGUAGUGACUGAGAUAAGCAGCAACAAUAAGUUAGUGAUGUACAAAAUGGUGGCCAGUUGGUCGUCGGUGGCUAAAGCUUGACGAUAGCAGAGCAGUUGUAGCAGUGAAAUCGAGGAGCAGCAGUUGGUAGCAGAAGGUGCAACAGAGGAGCGGCGGUAGUGACUUAACAAGUAGUGUGUUU
rnacentral:lncRNA from 1 species